rnacentral:lncRNA from 1 species
GGCGGACUUUUGGUAUAGCAUUGGAAAUGUAAAUGAGCUAAAUACCUAAUAAAAAAUGGAAAAAAAUACUGAAUGUAUAAUAUGAUAACCUGCAGGUUCUGGUGCUCCAACGACUCUCCAGGUAUUUGAGACAAACAUCUUUGAGCACAAAGGAGCAAAAGAUCCAGAAUAUAAAAGAGGACCACAAUGUUCAUACAGGUAGGUGUAGCUACCACCCCCAUCAGAAGAUUCUUAUUACAGCAAAGGAGGCCAUCGCAGGAAACCAUGACUAGAUAAAAUGCAGAGAUCUGGUAACCAAGCCCCAGUGGACACAUUUGCAUAGUUCUUGAACCGGUGGCUCAAGGAGCAUAGCCAAAGAGAGAUAGUACCAGCCAGAAAACCAGGAAGACAGCUGUUAAAGGGUCUCUCCUAGAAAUGGCUCCAUACUUGUAACCCCACUUAUGGCAUGCACUUGUAACCCCAGCACAAAACCCAAACAAACAUAAUACUAAUAGAUAUGCCAACACAGAAGGGGAUAAAAAAUUCUCCUGGGGUCCUACCCCUGGGUUAAGGACUACUGGCAACUCAUAAUCAGAAAUAAACUCCUUAUUAGUUGUCCAAUACAGAGCAGUCAGCCCUAAAACCAAUACAUACAAAUAGUAAAAACAAACUCAAAAGGUUGUACUUAUAUAUUUAUGUGUAUACAUACCUCUAUAUGUAACAAUAAUAGUCAAAGAAAAAGCCAGGCAUGGUAGUUCACCUUUGAAUCUCAGUACUCAGGAGGAAGGUUCAGAAGUUAAAGACCAGCCUGGUCUACACAGUGAACUCCAGGACAGCCAAGACUAAGAGAGACCAUCUCAAAAAACAAACAAACAAACAACCCCCCCCCAAAAAAAGAACAGAAAAAGAGAAUAUCAAAAUAUCACCUUGAGAGUGGGAGGCAUGAAGGAGUUGGAGGGAGAGACUGAAAGAGGAAUGGAAGAGGGAAGCAAUGU